GCGUCUGUAUACUUAUUUUAUUGACAAUGAACGCAAUCAUCAUGGGUCCAUUCCAGAUAUUAUGAACAAUUUGUAUAGAUAUAGCCUUCAUUCCUAUAUGCUUGACUUUUUGCGAGAGGGAGUUUUUCCAACGAAGCAAUCUUGGAAAACUAUAGUAGUCAAAGUGCAAACUGACGAAUGGACUCGUCGUUUACAUAAUGAUAAUAACUUUUCUCACU
rnacentral:lncRNA from 1 species